AAGUGUGCAUGAUACGAAAAUCAACAUCGGUAGGAACAGAUUGAGCAAAUUUGUAGGGAACAAUCCAGGUGAUUUGCUCACCAAAAAUCUCGGCCUGAUAAUAAAUUCCUUUAAUAGAGAGGAAAGCUUUACGAAGGGAAUUUGACCGAAUUACAUAGUGUUGAAAUUCAGCACAUAAUCUUUCACAAUUAGCGACAGUAGCGGCACCAAUCUUGUCGGUAACAGGCAUAGUUGAAAAUAAGAACAGCAUACUAAGAGCAUCAUCAAUAUCUUUCAAGGCAUCAUGGAAGGUUGGGUAACGCUCUUUAAUGAUAUGAUCCAAAGAAUAAGUGGGUUUUCUGGCCUCUAAACGUUUAGCAGUUUCUAAUUCCCCUUUUCCCAAUGCUUUGCUAAGCUUGCGAGCGAACACUUUGUACUCGCGAAACUUCUGUACAAUAGGCUCAUGUAACAAAUACUGGAUAUCCUUAGUAUAAUCUAUUAUAUUUAUUAGUACAUAAUUUCAUUCUUUUAGUUCAUCAAAAAAAGACUAGCCCAUGAUAAAAUUGACCAUUCGGAAAAUGCUUUUUAUACCAAACGUCCAUGUUCAGAUAGCUAUGAUUCCGGUAAAAAUUGAUGCUAUUAGACUUACAGAAAGUGACUGGAGCAGUGGAGCCUUUAUUUGCUUUUUUCUUAUUUUUUGGCUCACGAGGAUAAACACCCUUUAAAAUACAAAUACGACGAAAAUCAGCAAGAGUGAGCUGAAGCUUCUUAAGCGCUUGAUUUCUCGUAAUGUAGAUACGAGCUGCACCUGCUUUCCCUGUUUUCAAUUAGAAAAUUUUUUUA